rnacentral:sRNA from 13 species
CCCUCUGGGCGGGGAUUCCACUCCACUGCCGCGUACACGUGAACUUGCGCUCGCCAAUCGUUUGCGUGUAUCACCCUCUCCAUGAGAGAUUCGAUUGUGUGGGCAAGGCUGCGCAGGCGGCCCGUGAUG